UUUGCUAAGGGUGAGCAUUGACAUGUCUGAAUUUUUCUUUUGCAUGGCAAGAAAGGGUCCAGAUUUACAAAUGAAUCAAGGUGGUUCCAGAUUGUUCCAAAAUCACUAGAUUGCUCACUUCUAGAAGUGUUCUUCUGGAGGCAUCUGAGAAGGGAUGGGAAUAAAUAAGAAGUAAAAUUGUAACGCAUUCUGUAACAGUGACUUUGGUAAAAAUAUUGACAAUAUAAGAACUCCUUAUAUUGUCAACACAAUUUACUCACAGGAGAACUUGACCACUAAGCUACAUCCCCAGCCCCCUUUCUUGUAUUUUAUUUAGAGAAAGGGUCUCACUGAAUUGCUUAGCACCUUGUUUUUGCUGAGGCUGGCUUUGAACUCUCAAUCCUCCUGUGUCAGCCUCCUGAGCUGCUGGGAUUACAGGCAUGCGCCACCACACCCAGCCCUGAUUGAUUUUUAUCCCUUACAUGAAAGGGAAAAAAAAAAUGUGUGUGCAAAAAAGCUGUCUGUUCCAUAUUUAAGAAUGAUUCUACAUUGCUUAAUUGAACUUGGGGAAUCUUGGAAAUGGCUCUUUAUAUUCAAUUUCCUUUAUAACUUGGGCCACUCUAAACUUCUCCCAAAGGCUUUGACAAUUUUGAGGUCAGGGGAAGGCCAGAGUAAGAUCUGCAAUGGCAGUUCCAUGGAGUGUCUGUGUGGAAAGGAGAAAAGGACUUCUUUUCUUAAAUAUGACACAAGAAGUGA
rnacentral:lncRNA from 1 species